rnacentral:lncRNA from 1 species
AAAAAGACAUCGUGCCCAAUACAUUUCCUGGUGAUGCCGUUGCAACAAAAACGUAAUUGAUCAUUACGGUUGUUGCUCCAUGCCUCGUCUUGAACUUCGUAGACUAGCAGCUGUAUCACUAAACUAUAGCCUACCGGCAUACUUCACUAUUCACAUGCAUUUGCGCUACUCCAAAAGCUUGCUUUAUCUACUGAGACGGGUGAUCUACAUUAGCAUAAAACACAGUAUACUUCAAACUCUAUUCAUCUGUCGUUUGAGCAACUUGACUGAUCCUCGUCCUCUGAAUCUCGGGCUUUGCAACAAGGCUCGCUGUUUAGAUCCCGUAAAUACGCAAGUGGUGGGCGCUGCUUUUCGAAAGCGCAUUUUGAUAUUUCUAUCCUCUACUCCUCCCACCACUGCCGAGAUAUAAUUGCAAGAGGAAGUCAAAAAGAAAAGGGGGAAGCGACUGAGAAACAGUUGAAAUGCAGUCCAAGGCUAGGCUUCAAUUUGGAAUAUCUCACCACGAUUGUGACCGAACCGCUGAACUAGUGCAGUAUGAAACGAGAUGAGAUAGCAUGGCUUUUCUCAACCACAGUUCGCUUUGUGUCGAUGUAAGGGCGUGGAUCUCACUGAGGAUGUCAGUUACAUUAUCCUGCUAGAGCAGAAGCACAAAGGCGCACGUACUCAAACCAAACCGGGCUGGCAGGGCAGAGGGAGCUGGAAGAUGUUGUAACCCAACGCGGGGACUAUGCCAUCCCCACGCAACAUCGCGGUGACCGUGGCCAUCCUGUUCAUAGUCGUCGGCCUGGUGCUCUUUUUGACCAUGUAUGCGCCCAUGCAAGUGUCCGGCUUCAUUUUGGCAGUUUUCGGCGUCGUUAUCCUUGUGUACUCCUCCUGCCAAGCCAUGAAGUCUGAACACGUAACUGUCCCGGGCCACUUCUUGCUUCAUCCUCGCACUGGGACACGCUAUAGCCCCCACCAAGCCAUGGCAAUUCAGAGGAGGCUGGAUAGGAUCCGCCGGGCCGCUGAGGAGGAGCGACCCGUCAGCACCGUCAGCCCCGCACCCCUGCCUCCACACUCCAGUCAGCAGAGUCUCCCCCGGACCCCCCCGCCCUGGGAGAUGGAGCCGCCGCCGUCCUACGAGACCGUCAUGAAGGGCAGCCAGAGCCCCGUCCAGAACUCGUGA